UGCAGAUCAACCACCUACCAAUGCUUUUUCCCUCUUGUUUUUCAGUACAGAGAGGAGAGCUGGACUGAAUUAACAAUAACUUUAUGCCUCAACAGAUUCUGCAUACCAGUCUAUUGUAAUUAUCUGGAAGGAGGACUGAAAUGAUGGGAAGAAAAAAGCAGGAGAAGGAAAGUUAUAAUUAGGAACUUUCAUUACUGAGAAUCAGAUAAUGGAGAAGUCCUGCGAGAACAGUGUUCUUAGUACAAACCAAUCACAAGAAGAAUGCCUGCAAGCAGCACGGUGCCUUCCUGCAGCAUGCCCGUGGAGAGGAGAGGAGGUUCUUUCCAACUUCCAGGGGAGAGCUGUAAAAUGUAAUGAAAUUUCCCCUCUGGUGAGGGAUGCAGUGAUCCCAUGGAGUCCUGAUGAUUCUUUCUGCUACAAGAAGGAUUCUUUCCCUGCAGCCCGAGAUACGGUACAGUUGCUGAGAGGAGGAGAUGACUCAUCACUGCUCAGCUAAACAUUUUGGCCAGGAAUUUGAUAUACUCCACAUCUCACAUUCAAGGGAAAGAACAAGCUGGACUAUAAAUCAGCUUUUAUAUCGCAUCACAUCGUUAUCAUCGCUCCACUUCCUUGGAGUUUAACAUAUUUCAAAAUUCUCCCUUCCCUACCAACGUUAUCAACCUUUAACUUAUUUGCAGCUCCUUGGACUUAUCUUGUUUGGGUUUUUUUCUGUAACUUUCAUCACUUGUGUGUGCAACUAUAUCCCUCUUUGUGUCCUUUGUGGUCACAUUGUUUACAUGCGUAUGUAAAAUGCUUACACACUAUGCCUAACUAUGCCAUCACUGUGUUACAAAACAGAGAAAGGGACAACCUCACUGAUUGAUAACUUGUUUUGGAAAAUGAAGACAUUGAAGUAGUGAUAGCUGUAAAAAGAGUAUCUCAGUACAACAUAGACUAUAGUGUAUAACUAGAACAGAAGAGAAUGAAAUCUUUGUUUUUGUCAAAUUUUUAAGGAAAUAAAUUGCAUUGCCUUUAAUAACAGUGACCAGCUUAUCCAUGGCACUAUAUGUAGUUAACAUAAAAUCAGUAACAAUCAAACAAUCUGCAAAAGUAAGUUAUGAUGUUGUUCACAGUGAGUAUUUGACCUGGUAAUUGAUAGAUGUUUCAAAGUAAUUUACAAUUAGUCACUCAAAUCACUUAUUCUAACCAUUUAUUCAAUAACAAUAUGGAACUUUUGAGAAAAAUAAUAUAUUCAGUUUUAAGUUGAAGACAUUUCACAAAUAAAUUAAUGGUUUAGUCUUCCAGAGUGAAUGUUCCAGUGAAUGGGAGAGGAUGUUUUCUGCUUAAAAAAAAAAAAAACAAAACAAAAAAAAAAAACCACCAAACUUAUUUUUUAUUCAGAAAUGUACUUGAGGACUAAAUUGAUGUACCCAGACUGCUUUAACUAUGUCCUGGUUUUGGCUGAGAUAGAGUUAAUUUUCUUUCUAGUAGUUCGUACAGUGCUGUGGUUUGGAUUUAGCACGAGAAUAAUGUUGAUAACACACUGAUGGUUUCAGUCGUUGCUAGGUAGUUGUAGUGUCUGCACUAAGUCAAGGACUUUUCAGCUUCCCACGCCCUGCCAGGUGCACAAGAAGCUGGGAGAGCACAGCCAGGACAGCUGGCCCAGACUGGCCAGAGGGACAUUCCCUGCCAUAGAACGUCGUGCUCCCUGUAUGCAACUGGGGAAUGUAGCUGGGAGGUGGGAUCGCUGCUCAGAAACAGGCUGGGCAAUGGGUUG